rnacentral:rRNA from 1 species
AGUGAACGCUGGCGGUAGGCCUAACACAUGCAAGUCGAACGGCAGCACAGUAAGAGCUUGCUCUUACGGGUGGCGAGUGGCGGACGGGUGAGGAAUACAUCGGAAUCUACUUUUUCGUGGGGGAUAACGUAGGGAAACUUACGCUAAUACCGCAUACGACCUACGGGUGAAAGCAGGGGAUCUUCGGACCUUGCGCGAUUGAAUGAGCCGAUGUCGGAUUAGCUGGUUGGCGGGGUAAAGGCCCACCAAGGCGACGAUCCGUAGCUGGUCUGAGAGGAUGAUCAGCCACACUGGAACUGAGACACGGUCCAGACUCCUACGGGAGGCAGCAGUGGGGAAUAUUGGACAAUGGGCGCAAGCCUGAUCCAGCCAUACCGCGUGGGUGAAGAAGGCCUUCGGGUUGUAAAGCCCUUUUGUUGGGAAAGAAAAGCAGCAAGUUAAUACCCCGCUGUUCUGACGGUACCCAAAGAAUAAGCACCGGCUAACUUCGUG